AGGGGAAUAGCUGGGUCAAAUGGUGGUUCCAUUCCCAGCUUUCCAAGGAAUAUCCUGCUUUCCAAAUUGGCCACACCAAUUUGCAGUCCCACCAGCAAU
rnacentral:pre_miRNA from 1 species